AUGGUUGUGAGCCACCAUACGGUUACUGGGAAUUGAGGAGCACCAGAAGAGUAACCAGUGGUCCAGAUUGACCUUGUAAAUGAAGGUGUGCAUGGCUCCCCUUGACUGAAGGCACUGGGCAAGCUUUUAAAAAAAAAGGUAAGUGUUUUUGCUGAUGAAAUCUGCAUGUAUGAGUGCUUUUUUUUAUUAAAUUCCCCAAUAAGCCGAUACUAUGAUGAUAACAUAGUUCAGCAGACAGCCUCUGAUGAACAAAUAAGUCUUUCGCUCCUAUCUGAUGUAUCUGGCUGUAAUGGUUUAAAGAAUUGUCUUCCAUGAAUUUUGAUGGAAGCUAGCUUCUUGUGAUUGUAAGGCCAUAGGUCAAUGCCAAAGCACAAAUUCAGUCACUAGUUCAUAAAAUGUCAUUGACUUUGUAAGAGUGUAGUUUUCUAGGUAUGGUCACUACCAUAAAGUCUUAGGCCUCUUAGAAUUGGAGGAAAGAAUUGUUUGUGGAAAGGUCAUCUAAACUACUUCCGUACCCAAAUAGUGUAAAAUGUACUGAAUGGUUAAGAUAAAUUUCUGGGCUAAUGAAAUUUUCUUGUUAUUAAACAGGUCCUUCAUUUCUGAAUUUCAAGGUAAGCCAUCUUGUUUUUGUACAGAUUGUAUAAAAUGUGGCCUGUAACCAGUGAUGUGAUGAUUCUGCCAAAUGAUACAAAGUGAUAUCACCUUUAAAACCGUUCCACUUUAUUUCUGAGGUUACUAUAGUAACAUGCAAUCUAUAAAUAGUUUAAACAAGAUAAAUGAUUAGAUCUUUUUGUUUUAUAGGGCUCCUGUGGCAGAAGUGGGCAUGCAAUUUCACUAUUUGAAUUUCACCUUACUGUUUAAAAGGUGGCUGGAUGGACGUUCAGAUCAUACUUCGGGUUUUCACAUUAUGAGAAUUAUCAUCAAAAUAAAUAGAAUGGAAUGAAAUACAAAGUGUGCGUUUUGUUUUCUAAUGCUUAGGACCAAGUCCAUUGAGCAUGUUUUGUGGGGUAUUAUCCAGAGAAGAUUGCUCAGGCAUGGGUUUACACCAAUAAAUAGGUCUUAGCUGGCCAGCCAUUACACUCGAGUGUUUGCAUGCUUUUAAGCACAAAAAGUCCUGGCUUAAUCUUAGCAAGAAGCAGCAAAACAAGUUGGAUUAGGUCUUUGGUUUCAUGUUUGACAGACAGGUUGUGUCUGCUGAAUCUCAGCCCAAAUGGCUUUGUCAGUUGUGCUAUAAGGUCUGAGCUCUGUUAAAUCUGGGGUUAAAGUGACAGGUG